GACGAACGCUGGCGGCGUGCCUAAUACAUGCAAGUCGAACGAGAGCGACCGGUGCUUGCACUGGUCAAUCUAGUGGCGAACGGGUGAGUAACACGUGGGUAACCUGCCCAUCAGAGGGGGAUAACAUUCGGAAACGGAUGCUAAAACCGCAUAGGUCUUCGAACCGCAUGGUUUGAAGAGGAAAAGAGGCGCAAGCUUCUGCUGAUGGAUGGACCCGCGGUGCAUUAGCUAGUUGGUGAGGUAACGGCUCACCAAGGCCGUGAUGCAUAGCCGACCUGAGAGGGUGAUCGGCCACAUUGGGACUGAGACACGGCCCAAACUCCUACGGGAGGCAGCAGUAGGGAAUCUUCCGCAAUGGACGCAAGUCUGACGGAGCAACGCCGCGUGAGUGAAGAAGGUUUUCGGAUCGUAAAACUCUGUUGUUAGAGAAGAACAAGUGCUAGAGUAACUGUUAGCGCCUUGACGGUAUCUAACCAGAAACCCC
rnacentral:rRNA from 1 species